AUUGUUACAGGUUUUCCUUUCACCAGAACUUGGUUCGUAAAAGUGAACAUUCCUGCUGAAUCCAGAAACAGUAGCAGUCUCUUUUUAAGCGAGCCUUAUUGACACGGAUCUAACAGAAUUCCUUAUAAUCCCGCACUUAACUCGCAAACCGUUUAUUCAGCUCUCGAUCAAUUAAACAUCCAGUGCAAAUAAAGUGUACCCGAACUACAUACACAGGACGUUUGUCCUCUGAACUCCUAAUAGAAAUUGAAUUGGAGAGGACAAACAAACAUCUCAAGUGUUCGUUAAUGUUUUCCGAUGCUCGUUAAUGUGCCUCGUAUCGAUUGCUAGUGUUCGCUGUAAAACUGUUAUGAAUAUUUCCGGAAACUGAUUCCUUGUUUUUGAAGAUAUCACUUCGCGGGUCAUCAUGGAGACAGAGGAACUCAUCAAGCUUGUUGAUGGAAUCUAUAAGAAUAUCCUGGAUAAGUUCAACCCGGGGGCCAGGCAAAUGAUCAACGCUGGCAAAGCCUACCUCAAAGCCUUGCACGGUG
rnacentral:lncRNA from 1 species